rnacentral:ncRNA from 1 species
UUGCAUUCCAUUCGUAUUAGAUAAGCUAGCAAUAAAAAAGCGAUAAAACCAUCCACAAUUGUGGGCUUUUUUGUUGUGCUUACUUUACGAAUUAGGACAUGGAUACUGGUGAGGAAUAGCCUUUGGUGGCUAUCCCUUUUUCCGGCGUGUCUUUUUUUCGUUGAUUAUGCAGACCAAAGCCCGCAUUGCGGACUUGUUGGCCUGCAUUUUUUAU